GAGAUAUAGUAUGUGUGUGAGUGUGACUGUAUGUGAUGUGUGUGAGUGUGUGUGUGAGUGUAUGUGAGAUAUAGUAUGUGUGUGAGUGUGACUGUGUGUAUGUGGUGUGUGUGUGAGUGUGUGGUGUGUGUGUGUGAGUGUGUGUGAGAUAUAGUAUGUGUGUGAGUGUGACUGUGUGUAUGUGAUGUGUGUGUGUGUGAUGUGUAGAGAUAUAGUAUGUGUGUGAGUGUGACUGUGUGUGGUGUGAGUGUGUGAUGUGCAUAUCUGGCAGACCCAGUUAGAGUCUAAGUGACCUUGUGAGCCGGGGCCAUGCUUACAUUCACAGCAGAUGAUGGGGGGUGGAGGAGAUAAGCUGAGAUGAGGGGAGACGGCCUCACCGCUGUGCUGGGGCCCCUCUGUGUGGCUCUGCAGCAGUCAUGGGGGCCAAGCCCCUGUCAGAUCACAGGCCACUCUCUCUCCAGCCCUUGCGGUUUUAACUGUUACUCAUGUGCGGUCCCCUGGUAAGUGAUGCUCAGUUACG